rnacentral:rRNA from 1 species
AAAACGACUCUCGGCAACGGAUAUCUCGGCUCUCGCAUCGAUGAAGAACGUAGCGAAAUGCGAUACUUGGUGUGAAUUGUAGAAUCCCGUGAAUCAUCGAGUCUUUGAACGCAAGUUGCGCCCGACGCCAUUCGGCCGAGGGCACGUCUGCCUGGGUGUCAC